UGGGGAAUAUUGCACAAUGGGCGCAAGCCUGAUGCAGCCAUGCCGCGUGUGUGAAGAAGGCCUUCGGGUUGUAAAGCACUUUCAGCGAGGAGGAAGGUGGUGAACUUAAUACGUUCAUCAAUUGACGUUACUCGCAGAAGAAGCACCGGCUAACUCCGUGCCAGCAGCCGCGGUAAUACGGAGGGUGCAAGCGUUAAUCGGAAUUACUGGGCGUAAAGCGCACGCAGGCGGUUUGUUAAGUCAGAUGUGAAAUCCCCGGGCUCAACCUGGGACUGCAUUUGAAACUGGCAAGCUAGAGUCUCGUAGAGGGGGCUAGAAUUCCAGGUGUAGCGGUGAAAUGCGUAGAGAUCUGGAGGAAUACCGGUGGCGAAGGCGGCCCCCCUGGANGAAGACUGACGCUCA
rnacentral:rRNA from 1 species